ACCGUCGCCAGCUGCGCCGUGACGUCACGCGCGCAGGCCGCACUCCUCAGGCGCUGUUGUUUCCUUAACCGCUCAGUCGGCUGCGAGGCGCCCCCGGUGGCUGGCUUGGUUUGGGCUUCUGCGGGGCUCCUGGUACAGGGGGAAGAAGACUGGAUUUGGAGGCAAUUCAUCAAAAGCUUUGGUGGGGCCUCCACGAGUGUGGUUGAGGCCGAGCCCUCGAUGGGAGCCGCCGGGACGUGGCGGCCUCCAAGUGUUAUUAUUCUCAUUUUAUAGAUGAGGAAACUGAGGCACGGGGGGCUUACGUGUCUGAGGAGGGAGUUGAGCCCACCCCUACGCAGCAGCCCUAUAUUGCAGCCCCACGUUUCUAUUCCAGCCUCACCUGUAACCUCACGAGCCCCCCUUUUUACUUUUUGAUAGCCUCUCUACAGAGCUUUUUAAAAAGUUUAUUUAAAAAACAUUUUUUUAAGAUGGAGAAAGAACAUUGAAUGUUGCUGGGCCCAACUGCCUCACGUGACAGAGGGUGAUCCUUUGUCCAGGUCCCCGGGGGUGGGGGUUAUCCCGCUGCCUGGAGGUGGGCGUCCCCCUCGGGGGCUGUGAUGCUUUCCCUUAAAGCUUCUCGAUGACGCCUCUCAGUGGGUGCAGGAAAAGGGCAUUUGGCAAACGUCCCUACUGUGCGCAGGACCUCCCGGACGGAUGGCGUUAACUUUUGCAAGUCCUCCCCAAACCGAAUGACAAAACUUGGAAUUAGGUGAAAGAACCCUCUUGGGCACUAUCUUCUUCCAAAAUUUUUCUGGAGCUCAGUGUAUGAUGAUGCUACCUCAGUCCGGAUUCUUAUUGGAAGAGAGUUUUUUUAGCAUCUGGUGGGAAGUUGAUCCUGAACUCUUGUGAGAUAGAUGGGCUACAAGGAAACCAGAUGCCCUGCAGUUGUGCGUAGGAUUGAAACGCUACCAGCCCAGGGGCUCCUCAGCCUAGACAGACUGUGCAUUCCUGACUUGAGUUCUUCAGAGAUCUAGAACUGAGAUUACAGGUUCUAAGCCCCAGAGAUGGAUCUCUGGGCAAAUUGCUAAGACUAUAAUAAAACUCCUUUUUUAGUCACAGACUUUCAAGUUAUUUUUGGAGUAGAGAAGAGAGAGCUCGCCCAAAUCUCUUCCAGAACUUCUUUUUAUUCCUCGAAUCACUUUAGAGGCUGAUUAGCCAGCCCAGGAAGCAAAGUUGGGAAGACUGACAACAACCUAUCUUCCCUGGAGGUUGUAGGGGGGGUGUUAGUGUUUAUUGCAUGAUUCAUUUUCCUUCCUAUAUUAUUUUUUUUAAGUGCUUUCUUAGGUAAAUACUCCUCCUACACUACUAUAAUGUUAAAAAUAAGUUACUUCUGACUGGUCAAGAGAGGUUCAGAGGAAAAUGGGGGCUCAUGAGCAGUGGUGGACUAGAUGGCGGUGAACCCAGAGUGGUUUUGAGGGAACCAGAAUGUGGCCAUGCAAGUGCUGCACUCAUGAAUCCUGGUGGCUUGUGGUCUGGUCCAGGGCAUUUGUCAGUCAACAUUUGGUUUGCCCACGCAGUCACAUCUCUGGGACUUUCCUUUUGUCCUUCGCUAAAACACCACAGGAGGGAAUCUGCUUGAGGAAUUAAAAGGAGAGGAGCAUGGUCACCUGACCCUUUCAAAGAGUCGCACAGCCUUCAGAAUAGUCAGCUCCCUACUCCCCCUUUUGGGGUACAAUGGGAACUUGCUACCAAUUGGGUCAGUUGAUUUUAUCUAGUUGGGGUUUUUUGUUAGGUUGGGACAUAUUGGGAAAUAAAUGAGGUUUAAAAAACGACACAUCGAUAAGACUUUAAAACAUUGGUAUUGGCUUAUGUUACAAUGAUGGCCAGAGCCCAGCCCCAACAGGCCGCCCAUCAUUCUGCCAUAUCUUGAUGCUUAUGGGGUUUGAAAGAUUUUAGUCCUGCAGUCCCCGAUCAAAAUACAAUGUUGCUGGAAAGUCUUAAAUUUCAAUUAUGAACUAACUUUAAGAUGAAUAGAACUAGGAGUGAAGAGAAGGGGUUAGUUGGAGGGGAGGCAGAGAAUGAUGAGUAGAAGCUCCAAAGUGACUCCCUUUAUUCUUACAUAUGACUACUUCUCCCCAAGGUUUGUUUUUCUUAAUAUGUCCUUCAUGGGCUAUUAUAAAUAUCAACCACUUUCAUUCUGCAGCUAGCGGGGGCCGUAGUGCACAGAGAAUGGGUUAUUGUUUGGUUGGUGUCCUUCAUUCUUGAAGAGGACCAAGAUGACAUCAUUGUUAAGAGUCGAGUUAGUGUGUCCAGUUGUGGCUGAUAAGACCAACAUGAGCUCUGAGUGCUCUGCCACAGGGUUAACACCCAGUCCCUGUGAACAUUUUGGGGCAACAUGAGUUCUCCAUUAAACUCAAGUACACAUUUGGCUGCAGUUAGGAAGACUCAUCUUUCUGAGUUCCCUGUGUGACCUCAGGUCACUAGCCGUAUGAUCCAGGACAAGUCACUUCAACCUGUUUCCUCAUCUGUAAAAUGGGCUGGAGAAGGAAAUGACAAACCACUCCAGUAUCUGUGCAAAGAAAACCCCAAAUGGGAUCAUGAAGAAUCGACAUGGCUGAAAAACAGAAUGACAAUAUCUGUUUAUUGAAUAAAUUUUUAAAAAAGUU